GCAGGAGAGACACGAGGCUGUAGCGUCCUGCUCAGGGAGCCGAAGCUCAUGGGCCUGAGAGAAGGGGGUCAUGAGAUAAGUGAGGUCAGCUUGCUGAGGACCAAAGUCUUUUCCUAGGAGAAAGACCAAGGAGAAUGGCCCCUGGGAGCCAGAAACCCUCAUACCAGGAGUUGGUGACAUUCAAGGAUGUGUUUGUGGAGUUCACUAAGGAGGAGUGGGGCCUCUUGGACCAUUCUCAGAAAGAGCUGUACAAGGAGGUCAUGAAGGAGAAUAUCCAGAACAUGCUGUCCCUGGAAACCCUCUGAGGUCAAGGCUGCACAUUUCACUAAUCCUAUUUUACGGAUGAGGAAAUUGGGACUCGGAGAGCUUUUUAUUUGCCAAGGAUCAGGAGUGGAACUCAGGCCUUCUUACUCUAGGCCUAAAGCUGUGGGGUCCUGUACGAAGCUGCUUUUUUAAACUCCAAAGACCAUCUGAGAGGAAAAAAAUACUGCAGCUGGCCUCAGAAAGAGCGGAGUUUAACUUCUUCCUCCCAAACUUCCUAAAUGUGUGACCAUCGUCUCAGUGAACCUCAGUUUCCUCUUCUGUAAAAUGGGGCCAACAGACCCCAUAGUGCUUCCUUCUCAAGUCUGUUGUGAUCCCCAAAGGAGAUUAUGUGGUCAAGAUGCUUUGAGAAUCUUUAAACAUUACAGCAAUGGCAACUCUUCUGACCACCUGUAUAUGUGUCUAAUUUGGUGCCUACAUACACAGAAAUAAAUUAGAAGAAACAAAUACAAGGUAGAAGAGUGACUAAUGCCUUUAGGACAGAGAAAUGGUUUUUGAGGUGACCUUCCAUAUCUAAGCAAUGUAUGAAUUAGAAGCAGAUGUUGGUCUAUGGUGUGAGAGGCUGGCCUUUGUCUAUUUUCUGCCAGACUACUUUCCAGUGUCUCCAGCCCUUUGUUGAGGUUAGUAAAUCCUGGCUCCAUAGUGGAGAUCUGUACAUUGAACAACACAUGGUUAUUCUAUUCAUCUUCUUUUGUUUACUACAACCUGAACUCCUCAAAUUCUCAAGAUCAUUAUUCUUAGGUACGACAAAACAAGUUUGGAUGACUCCAGCUUUCUGAAAGUUUCAGAUAUGCUCCUGCUAGGCCUCCUUCCUAGAAUAUUGGAAGAGGCUGUGGAAAGAAACAAAUGAAUGUACUUAUGAUUAGAACAUAUAUUUAGAGUUGGAAAGGAUUAUGGAAGCCACUUGGGCCAAUCUCCUCAUUUUAGAGAUGAGUAAGGUGAGGUGCAGAGAGGUUGCUCCUUGUCCAGAGUGACAGAGCUAGAGAGUACUUGAGUCAGAAUUUGAACCCAAAUCUUCCCAAUUCCAAAUCCAGAGCUCUAAUGGUUUAGAACUAUUGUUUUCAUCUACAGUGUUCAGAGUGUCAAUUUAAAUGAACAGAAAAGUGUCUCAACUGUCCUGAGGUGUAAGCAUACUGACUUUACUAUAAGACUUAGGACCCAAGAAAAGAUAAUCAUUGGAAAAGUUAGCAUUUCCAUAGUGAUUUAAAGUCUUGCACAGUGUUUGACGAACUGGGAGGUAGGUGCUAUUAUUAUCCCCAUUCUACAGAUGGGGAAACUCAGGCAGGAAAAGGUUGACUGGCUGAGUGUCAUUCACGUACUAAGUUUCAGAGACUGAAUCUGAACUUAAGACUUGUGGCUGCAAAGACAGCACUCUAUCCCCUGUGUUACCUAGCUGCUUAAAGUAUUACAGAAACAGAUGCUCAACAGAUACCAAAUGUUUACAUGAGGAAUUUUUUGCCAGUAACCGACAGGAAACAAAGUGAGUACCAAUUAUUUGGGGAAUUGCUGAAGACGGUACAGUAUAUGAAUGCCAUGAAGUACUGAGGAGUAAUGUCAAACAACAUGAUUUUUGAGAAAAAUUCAUUUCAUUUAUAGGACUUUAUGCACAGUAUAAAAUCUGGAAUGUCUAAAGAGGGAUCAUAUUGGGAGAUCUAAUGAAGUCUGUCCUACAUCAAGAGGUGUUCCCUUGUCCAUCAGAUCCAAAAGUUUUGUCUCUAACUCUAGGUGAAAGAAGCCCUUUCCACAAUUAUUGCUUUUAUAAGCCUUUAUUCCAAUAGGAAUAUUUUGUUGUUUAGUGACCUUGCUCUUCCAGCAAAAGCAUGUUCCCUUUGAGAACACUGAUCAGUCUUCUCUGCAAUAUGAGUCCUCUGAUGUAAAGUAAGAGAUGAACUCUGGCUGAAGUCCUUCCAACAAUGAGUCCAUGUGGAGAUUCUCAGAAUUAUUUUUCUACUGCUAAACUAGUUCUAUAAUCCAUUUGAAAGCCUUUUUUUUUUUCAUGACAGUGAUAAGAUUUCUAUCUAGAAUGACUUCUCUGAUGGGAAAUAAUGGAUGACCUGCCUGAAGGCUUUACAACUUUGAUUACAUACCUAAGGUUUCAGUGGUAAAUAAAAACUGCUACAUUCAUAAA